CCUACGGGUGGCUGCAGUAAGGAAUAUUGGUCAAUGGGCGCAAGCCUGAACCAGCCAUGCCGCGUGAAGGAUGACGGCCCUAUGGGUUGUAAACUUCUUUUGUACGGGAAAAAACCACCGGUCGUGUAUCGGUGCUGAUGGUACCGUAAGAAUAAGCAUCGGCUAACUCCGUGCCAGCAGCCGCGGUAAUACGGAGGAUGCAAGCGUUAUCCGGAUUCAUUGGGUGCAGAGGGAGUGCAGGCGGAGUGGUGAAAGCCUACAGCUCAACUGUAGAACUGCCAUUGAUACUGACAUUCUUGAGUAUUGUUGAGGUAGGCGGAAUGUGUCAUGUAGCGGUGAAAUGCUUAGAUAUGACACAGAACACCGAUCGCGAAGGCAGCUUACCAAGCAAUAACUGACGCUCAUGCACGAAAGCGUGGGGAUCAAACAGGAUUAGAUACCCGUGUAUUC
rnacentral:rRNA from 1 species